CCCCCCCCCCCCACAAUCCCACCCUCUGCCACCGCACAUUUUCCACCUUCUACUCCAGGUCUUGCACCUGCUACUCCAAAUCUAACUGGACUGGUACUUGAACAAAAAGGACAAGGAUAUGCAGAGACCAACGAGACGCAAAACCAAACCAAGAAAGGCCCCAGAGGGGGCUGACCCCAGCUAUGGUGCAGGUGCCUACUAGUGCCACUCCAGUGCCACCUUGAGGACCCAUAUUUCUGACCAAUUAUAUUAGGCGAUCUGCAUGUAACUUGCACACCUUACUGAACCCAUGCCUAUCUACAAGGGUGCAAAUUUUGAAUGAUAUUGGUCAACAUCAACCUCAGCUAAAGGUGGCUGAACUUUGACCUUCGUUUGUGCAGGCUGCGAUGCUGAAACUUGGCCCAGUUGCAGCACCUUUCACAUGUAUCAGGAUAAUAAUUAUUUCAAUGCCCUACAACAAGUUUCUGUUCCCAUCUAGACAACCCCUUCAGACGCCCCAACUUGAUGAUGUUCGCACGAUAGUGCAAAACGCGGCCAUAUCUCUGGAAGAAGCGUCGGACCAACUCCUCUGGGAACCCGAAAAACAGCCCUCCCCCCUCACAACCACCCAUUUCACUGACUCGCUGCGAUCCAACACACGCACAGAUCUCGCACCGCCAGGUAACAGGAGAGUCACUUCAUCGUAUUUCUUAACUAUGUCCUGGAACACCACAUCGCCACAGAACCGCACCAAAGUGCGGUGCCCUCCAACCAGCUGUACACCCUUAACGUAAGUUACCACCACACACAGGACGUCCAGCAAUGCCACCUCACUAAAGAGUUGGUCACGUUCCCAGCAAAAUUCAGCUCAAUUGUGAGUGUGCAUCUCACAGGCGCCGAAGGCAACGCCAUACCACAGGCCUCCACGGCCCCGGGCCCACCAACCCAGCAAGGCUAAAGCGAGAGUGAGCAGCGACAGCACAAACAACCGUUUCAGUCGCUGGCCGAACCAGCACCUAUUUGUAUUUGCAACCCGUCCUCGACUCAAGUCCAUUACAUCCAGUGGUCGACCCCACAGACGCAUUCAUAAAUUUUAACAUGCUGUUCAUUCAAAACA